rnacentral:tRNA from 1 species
GCCGGUGUAUCUCAGUGGUGGAGAGGAAUAGCUUUGAAGCUAGUCGACUGGGGUUCAAAUCCCAGCUCUGCCU